AACGAACGCUGGCGGCAGGCUUAACACAUGCAAGUCGAGCGCCCGCAAGGGGAGCGGCAGACGGGUGAGUAACGCGUGGGAAUCUGCCCAACCCUGCGGAAUAGCUCCGGGAAACAGGAAUUAAUACCGCAUACGUCCUACGGGGGAAAGAUUUAUCGGGGAUGGAUGAGCCCGCGGUUGGAUUAGCUAGGUUGGUGGGG
rnacentral:rRNA from 1 species